rnacentral:rRNA from 1 species
CUCAGAUUGAACGCUGGCGGCAUGCCUUACACAUGCAAGUCGAACGGCAGCACGGGUGCUUGCACCUGGUGGCGAGUGGCGAACGGGUGAGUAAUACAUCGGAACAUGUCCUGUAGUGGGGGAUAGCCCGGCGAAAGCCGGAUUAAUACCGCAUACGAUCUACGGAUGAAAGCGGGGGACCUUCGGGCCUCGCGCUAUAGGGUUGGCCGAUGGCUGAUUAGCUAGUUGGUGGGGUAAAGGCCUACCAAGGCGACGAUCAGUAGCUGGUCUGAGAGGACGACCAGCCACACUGGGACUGAGACACGGCCCAGACUCCUACGGGAGGCAGCAGUGGGGAAUUUUGGACAAUGGGCGAAAGCCUGAUCCAGCAAUGCCGCGUGUGUGAAGAAGGCCUUCGGGUUGUAAAGCACUUUUGUCCGGAAAGAAAUCCUUGGCUCUAAUACAGUCGGGGGAUGACGGUACCGGAAGAAUAAGCACCGGCUAACUACGUGCCAGCAGCCGCGGUAAUACGUAGGGUGCGAGCGUUAAUCGGAAUUACUGGGCGUAAAGCGUGCGCAGGCGGUUUGCUAAGACCGAUGUGAAAUCCCCGGGCUCAACCUGGGAACUGCAUUGGUGACUGGCAGGCUAGAGUAUGGCAGAGGGGGGUAGAAUUCCACGUGUAGCAGUGAAAUGCGUAGAGAUGUGGAGGAAUACCGAUGGCGAAGGCAGCCCCCUGGGCCAAUACUGACGCUCAUGCACGAAAGCGUGGGGAGCAAACAGGAUUAGAUACCCUGGUAGUCCACGCCCUAAACGAUGUCAACUAGUUGUUGGGGAUUCAUUUCCUUAGUAACGUAGCUAACGCGUGAAGUUGACCGCCUGGGGAGUACGGUCGCAAGAUUAAAACUCAAAGGAAUUGACGGGGACCCGCACAAGCGGUGGAUGAUGUGGAUUAAUUCGAUGCAACGCGAAAAACCUUACCUACCCUUGACAUGGUCGGAAUCCCGCUGAGAGGUGGGAGUGCUCGAAAGAGAACCGGCGCACAGGUGCUGCAUGGCUGUCGUCAGCUCGUGUCGUGAGAUGUUGGGUUAAGUCCCGCAACGAGCGCAACCCUUGUCCUUAGUUGCUACGCAAGAGCACUCUAAGGAGACUGCCGGUGACAAACCGGAGGAAGGUGGGGAUGACGUCAAGUCCUCAUGGCCCUUAUGGGUAGGGCUUCACACGUCAUACAAUGGUCGGAACAGAGGGUUGCCAACCCGCGAGGGGGAGCUAAUCCCAGAAAACCGAUCGUAGUCCGGAUUGCACUCUGCAACUCGAGUGCAUGAAGCUGGAAUCGCUAGUAAUCGCGGAUCAGCAUGCCGCGGGUGAAUACGUUCCCGGGUCUUGUACACACCGCCCGUCACACCAUGGGAGUGGGUUUUACCAGAAGUGGCUAGUCUAACCGCAAGGAGGACGGUCACCACGGUAGGAUUCAUGACUGGGGUGAGUCUA